UGAGGAAUAUUGGUCAAUGGCCGAGAGGCCGAACCAGCCAAGUCGCGUGAAGGAUGAAGGAUCUAUGGUUUGUAAACUUCUUUUAUAGGGGAAUAAAGUGCGGCACGUGUGCCGUUUUGUAUGUACCCUAUGAAUAAGCAUCGGCUAACUCCGUGCCAGCAGCCGCGGUAAUACGGAGGAUGCGAGCGUUAUCCGGAUUUAUUGGGUUUAAAGGGAGCGUAGGCGGGUCGGUAAGUCAGUUGUGAAAGUUCGGGGCUCAACCCCGGAAUUGCAGUUGAAACUGCCGGUCUUGAGUACACGCAGGGGAAGCCUGAAUUCAUGGUGUAGCGGUGAAAUGCUUAGAUAUCACGCAGAACCCCGAUUGCGAAGGCAGCCUGCCAAGCCAUGACUGACGCUGAUGCACGAAAGCGUGGGGAUCAAACAGGAUUAGAUACCC
rnacentral:rRNA from 1 species